rnacentral:rRNA from 1 species
AUUGAACGCUGGCGGCAGGCCUAACACAUGCAAGUCGAGCGCGCGGCGGGCGGGUGAGUAAUGUCUGGGAGACUGCCUGAUGGAGGGGGAUAACUACUGGAAACGCUAGAUAUAACAGCAUACCCUCAGAUGUGCCCAGAUGGGAUUAGCUAGUAGGUGGGGUAACGGCGCACCUAGGCGACGAUCCCUAGCUGGUCUGAGAGGGGGACCAGCCACACUGGAACUGAGACACGGGCCAGACUCCUACGGGAGGCAGCAGUGGGGAAUAUUGCACAAUGGGCGCAAGCCUGAUGCAGCCAUGCCGCGUGUGUGAAGAAGGCCUUCGGGUUGUAAAGCACUUUCAGCGAGGAGGCGUUACCCGCAGAAGAAGCACCGGCUAACUCCGUGCCAGCAGCCGCGGUAAUUC